UACAGAGGUCCCAAGCGUUGUUCGGAUUCACUGGGCGUAAAGGGUGCGUAGGUGGUGAUGUAAGUCGGGUGUGAAAUCUCCGGGCUCAACCCGGAGGCUGCGCUCGAAACUGUAUCGCUAGAGGGUGGGAUGGGAGACUGGAAUUCUCGGUGUAGCAGUGAAAUGCGUAGAUAUCGAGAGGAACACCGGUGGCGAAGGCGAGUCUCUGGACCACUCCUGACACUGAGGCACGAAAGCCGGGGGAGCAAACAGG
rnacentral:rRNA from 1 species